rnacentral:lncRNA from 1 species
AGCAGGUGAAAUGGAUCAGAGUACUAUACUCUGAUUUUGCUACAUUUGCCAGAGACCAGGAGUAUUUGAUAUCUGCAGAAAAAACAUUUGAUUAUAUAGAAGGAUUUGUGAUGGUAAACAGGACUGGUCUCCUAAAUAAUUGGAGAUCAUCCUUCGACCCACAAGACCCAGUACAAGCCAGCCAGUUCAAGUCAGAUGGACAAACUCUCUUCUGCCUAGAAUUAGCCAAAUACAUCAACAAGGAUGAGAAGGAUUUAGUAAAUCAGGUGAGGGGUGAUGGCCCACAAUUGGCAGAUUUGUCCACUUAAAUAAUUAAUUCUUAAAUCGUCAAUGUAUACACACACAAAAUAAUAACAGACAAAUAAAAAACAGGACACUCAUAAAUAUGUUUGUUUAACCCAUGCAGGAAGUUGAAUCCUCAUUGUCUGUACUAAACUACAUCCCAUCAACACUUUUCCUAUCAGAAGUUUCAUAUAUUGAAUUCUUAGACAGGGUUCAUGUGUCAGAGGUCAAGCUACGGUCAAAGGGCUUGUGGGAAGUUCCUCAUCCAUGGCUCAAUCUUUUUAUCCCCCAAAGCAAAAUACAUGAUUUUGCUAGGGAAGUCUUUGGCAACAUCCUUGCAGAGACAAGCAAUGGGCCCAUCCUCAUCUACCCACUCAACAAAUCAAAGUAAUAGUUCAUAAGAAAAUUGACAUUAUCCACAGUAAAUUCUCAAAGUGUUUGUUGACCGAUCAAUAUAUCAAUUCUGAUUUCAGGUGGGACAACAGAACAUCUGUUGUUAUUCCAGAAGAAGAUGUUUUCUAUCUAGUAGCAUUCCUUUCAUCAGCAGUUCCAUCUUCCAAAGGAACUGAUGGCCUAGAACACAUCUUAACUCAGAACAAAAGAAUUCUAGAAUACUGUGAAACAGCACGUCUUGGAGUGAAGCAAUAUCUGCCCCACUACACUACACAGGAACAGUGGAGAUCCCACUUUGGCCCACAAUGGGAAGUCUUUGUCCAGAGAAAAUCUACUUAUGACCCUUUGGCAAUACUUGCUCCUGGCCAAAGAAUAUUUCAAAAGGCCAUGCCUUUCUCAUGAUACAGGCCCAUAUUUGAUUAUUAUUAUUAUUAUUGAGAAAAAAAAUUGUAACAAUGUUACAACUUGCAGGGAAGACGCCUUAGCUAUAAAUACGGUAAACUGGAAACUAUAACAGUUCCAUGCCUUCUCGAAAAUUGUAAGUGUAAGGAGAAGGCUCAAGGAAUAGCCAGUCUUUUUGUUUAGGAAAUAGGUUAAAUAUUUUGGAUAAGAAUUAUUAAGUAGACUUAUAGAAGGCAGUGAAAAAAGCAGCCCCAGAAAGGACGUGUUAUUGAUUUUGUGUACAAAGACUGGUGGUUCCCUCUGAGAAAUCCAAUACCUCAGGACAAUAUGUAGAAUCGUUUCCUGCACAGGGUUAUUAUAAUCCUACAAUUAAUGUACAGACGCCUUAUAUUACAUUAUUACAUGAACGAGCUGAAGCAAGAAAUCGGACGGUAGAAGAAACAAGGAACAUAAAAACUCUCAAUUGAAUAAAUAAAAAUUACAAGAGAGAUUAACCAUGGGCCUUACCUCAUCACUCAGACAGAUAGUAAGCCACUCUCUACCAGUGUCCAACUUGUUGCCAAAUAAUCCAUGCCUUAACAACAUGAUACUGUACUGCCAAGAUUUUAAAAAAUAGUGUGCAUAUUAUUUUAGUUCUAUCUUUUGGUGAAACAGAGUCAUUUCAAAGUGCACCAAAUUGCAGAAAACUCCCCACUUACCACUCCCAAGUAACCAUACCAUAGAGAAAAAAAAAAAUAAUGACGCAUUCAUCCUGCUCAUGCUACAUAGUUCUGAGGUACAACUUGUGCAGCAAUUCAAGCUAUAAUCCUAUCAAAAGCAAUUAUUCUAGAGUAGUGCAUUGUCAGACCCCUAUAUUUUCCCAUUAUUUCUUCAGUUUUAUCAUAUCAAACAAAUGGCAAAACUUCCUAUGGAGAGCAACAUGCUCAACACGAGCAAGGAGAAGAAAUUAAAUAAAACAUAUAAUCUGGAAUAAUAUCUUUCAGUAGGAUAGAAAAAAAAAGACAAGCAGAAAGUAAGGGUGGUUUGCCAGAUUGUUAAACACACUUUCAGCAGCAUUAAUUUUUUAAGAGAACGAAAAUUUUCAGCCUAGAAUUGUAGAAAUUUAUGUACAAGAAAGGAAAAUGGAAAUUCAUACAGGCGAAUUCUGACAUUGUGAACACCAGACCUAGGAUCUCUCACUGAAAUCCAACUUAUCAGCUCUUGGUUCUUAAAAGGAUAUAUGCAUUUUUACCAAAUUGGUAUAUAACUUCCAUGAUGCUUUUAUCCUUUCUUGUUGAGCAACCAUUAUCAGGGUAACAAUCAUUCCUGAAUUUUUUUUAACUUUACAUGCAUCCAACAUCAGCAUUCAGCACAAAGGAAAAAUAUCUAACACGAGAAGCAAAGUGAAAAAAGACUUUGGUAUUUAGGAAACUCUGGCAUCUUUCUGUCAGAACUGUUGGGUUAAUGCCAAUCAAUAGCUCACAGUUUAGUCACUGUACAAUAUGAUUUCAACUGAAAAGUCAAGUAGCCACACUGGAGCUUCACUUUAUCUUGUUUCAACUGUAGUCUUCUGAUGUUUACUAAUGGCUUGAAUGGUUCCAAAAAAUAGAGCCAGGUCCUGGUUUAAAGCGUCUAAUAAUCAUGGAGGUGGCUUUUCUCAAACAGAGGCAUGGCAGUUGAUUUAUCAUUAUUCAUCAUAUUCGUGGAUUUAUAUUAUAUUUAAUUAAUAGCAAAAACAUCCCAAGAAGAUUAAGCUAAUGGUCUUUAAUACGUAAGAUGUAAUAAUCUAUCUGAAUGAAAAUUGCAGGUCCAAAUCAGUGAUUUUGUUUGUUAAUUUGAACCAUCAAGUUAUAUAGCAUGCACCUAUUUCGUUAAAGCAGAUUGCUUUUCCUUUUGUUGCUUUUCUGAUGGCAAAUAGCAGACCCAGUUGGAAAAUCAGACACCAUCUAAUAGUCUCAUUUACUGUCAAAUGCACUUCAACUCAAAGUUUCAAACAUUUCACCAGUGCCAGAUUGACUAGCAUAUCUUCAACAGUAUGUGAAUUAUCAAUCACUCACAAUGAGAAUCUAAAAAGUAAAUCCAAUCUAGCUUUUACAACUUUUAUCAGAACCCGAGAAUACUUUCAACUAGCAAAGAUUGCCCCAUGAAAGACAUAACACCAUCCAGUAGUCAAUGGAAUGUCAGAAGCAGCUAGGGUACUCAUACCAACUUAUAGUAGUGCGAGUUCCAAUGAUUAUUAUAUGAUAUUUUAGCAGUAAAUUAAGAUUAAAGUUUUAUUUUUCCAUGCAUGCAGGAGUAACUACAUUGAAUUUUGAUAAGGUACACAGAGCACAUAAGAAACUCCAUGUUGGCUACAACAAUUCUAGCUCUAACAAUGAUAUGCCUUGAGACUUCACUCAUCUGCUUGAAACUGAAAUGUUAAGUACAGUGGUAAAAACUAUGCUUUCAUACAGUGAAUUUUCAUAUUCCAUGCAAGAUGGAAUCACUUUGAUGAAUGGAUGCAGUUAAAGAAAUUUGAUAUAUACUUUUAAAAAGUUAUUCAUACAACAUAUUAUCACAGCCCAUGAAACAUGUGCUAUUUUAUUAACUAUUAAUCUGUUGAGUAGCUGCAGUUUUGAAAAACAUUUAUUGGGUUGAAAUAAUAAAUAACUGAUCAAGACAUUGUUUCAGAGUAAGGAUGUGUCUUCUGAAAAGUCAAACAUUUCAUACUCCAGUUCUCAUUUUUUAAUGUUUUGAAACUCAUAAUCUGGUAGCCAUACUUCACAAAGCUUAGGAACAUUCUAUUUAUGUGAAAACCAUACAACUAGCUUUGAUUUGCAAUAAGAUAUACACUAGCAAGCCAUCUGAUAAUAUCCGAGAUGUCUGCCACUUCAAAAAUAGGACAAGAAUAAAGAUUUACCUCUGAACUUGAGGAAACCCCACCCUUCCUUUCACAUUUCUGGUUUUCCUCCAAUGCCUCCAUUAAUUUAGGAUCAACACAACUAACAAGCAACAGCAAUUGAGCCUGAAACAUCAAAACUCUUAACCGAGAACUCCCAGCAGCACCAGAAGAUCUCCCAAUUCUACUCCAACGUAAGCUUUCAAUAGGGUUGACAAGAUUGACAUACACGAAUCAUCACCGACAUGGGAGAAUCAAUUCAUCAAAGCGACAAGACAUACACAGUACAUCACACAACUCAAAAAUUUAUUUGUGUAAAAGGAACUAACAUAGUAUAUGCAUUCUUCCAUCCUUUUAAAUUUCAUUCAUUAGGAAACCAAAUCCAUGCAUCCAAUUCAGGAAUGAAGAAACCAUUUACAAGAAAACUAUUUCAUUCUUGCCAUCAUAUCAAUUUCUUAAACUAAGAUUUUGUCUGGGUCUUAAGCAUUUUGAAAAUGGAAGCAUUUGAAGCAUCGUCCAAGAUAAAUAUUAAGCUGCUAAAACGUAACGUAAAGAAAGUUUUACCAGUGACUCAGUGAGAAGUGAAAAGUCCAUCAUAAUCCAAGAAUAACAGGAAAUCCAUUGAGACAAAACUUCAGUCCGUUACUAAAGGGAAGAUCUUUAAAUUACACUUUUG